rnacentral:rRNA from 1 species
GACAAGCGGUGGAUUAUGUGGUUUAAUUCGAAGCAACGCGCAGAACCUUACCUGGGCUUGAACUCCCACGAACCCGGCCCAAAAGCUGGGGUGCUCUUCGGAGAAUGUGGAGAGAGGCGCUGCAUGGCUGUCGUCAGCUCGUGUCGUGAGAUGCUGGGUUAAGUCCCGCAACGAGCGCAACCCUCGCCUCUAGUUGCCAGCAUUAAGUUGGGCACUCUAGAGGGACUGCCGGUGAUAAGCCGAGAGGAAGGUGGGGAUGACGUCAAGUCCUCAUGGCCCUUACGGGCUGGGCUACACACGUGCUACAAUGGCGGUGACAGUGGGCAGCCAACCAGCGAUGGUGCGCUAAUCCCAAAAAGCCGUCUCAGUUCGGAUUGCACUCUGCAACUCGAGUGCAUGAAGUCGGAAUCGCUAGUAAUCGUAGAUCAGCAUGCUACGGUGAAUACGUUCCCGGGCCUU